UUCGAUUCCGGAGAGGGAGCCUGAGAAACGGCUACCACAUCUAAGGAAGGAGAGGCGCGUAAAUUACCCAAUCCUGAUUCAGGGAGGUAGUGACAAGAAAUAACAACCUGGGGGACCUAGCCCUUACGGGAUUGCAAUGAGAACAAUUUAAACGACUUAUCAAGGAACAAUUGGAGGGCAAGUCUGGUGCCAGCAGCCGCGGUAAUUCCAGCUCCAAUAGCGUAUAUUAAAGUUGUUGCAGUUAAAAAGCUCGUAAUUGAACUUCUGUGUAUGCACAGUUCUGGCUUCCGUCAAGCUGUUGUGUGCACAUCCGCUUGCAAACUUAGACCGGCCUUCAUUGGUCGACUAAGGGAGUAGGCCCUUUACCUUGAAAAAAUUAUAGUGUGUCAGGCAGGCUAUUGCUCUAAUACAUUAGCAUGGAAUAAUGGAAUAGGACUUUUGUCCAUUUGGUUGGUUAUUGGACAUGAGUAAUGAUUAACAGGGACAGUUGGGGGCAUUAGUAUUUAAUUGUCAGAGGUGAAAUUCUUGGAUUUAUUAAAGACUAACUUAUGCGAAAGCAUUUGCCAAGGAUGUUUUCAUUAAUCAAGAACGAAAGUUAGGGGAUCAAAGACGAUCAGA
rnacentral:rRNA from 1 species